GUGGGGAAUAUUGCGCAAUGGGCGAAAGCCUGACGCAGCAACGCCGCGUGGGUGAUGAAGGCCUUCGGGUCGUAAAGCCCUGUCAGGUGGGAAGAAAGGCCUGGAGAGGAAAGGUUUCAGGUUUGACGGUACCACCAGAGGAAGCACCGGCUAACUCCGUGCCAGCAGCCGCGGUAAUACGGAGGGUGCGAGCGUUAUUCGGAAUUACUGGGCGUAAAGCGCGUGUAGGCGGGGGGACAAGUCUGAUGUGAAAGCCCUGGGCUUAACCUGGGAAGCGCAUUGGAAACUGUUUUUCUUGAGUACUGGAGAGGAAGGGGGAAUUCCCGGUGUAGAGGUGAAAUUCGUAGAGAUCGGGAGGAAUACCAGUGGCGUAGGCGCCCUUCUGGACGGUAACUGACGCUGAGACGCGAAAGCGUGGGGAGCAAACAGGAUUAGAAACCCUAGUAGUCC
rnacentral:rRNA from 1 species